UCAAAGACACCUUCAUCUUUCUUCCUACAACCUCUUCUGUUGCUUCUGCAUGUCAGUAGGAGACUUGGCCAAGUUCCCGUGCGUCUAUCCGGAGUCUCUCCGAUGGUGGCAAUGUCAACAUUUCUGUGGUCAGCCAUUUCUCGUACACUUCCAUUUCCUGAGAUGUGAAUUUGUCUUCCAGUGUUAUCUCUAGUCCUUGCUGCACCAAAUGCCCUCUCCUGAUCAUUCACUUCUGUAAACGUCACAUGGGUCUAUAAAUUGCUUUGCCGUGGGUUUGUGAACUGAAUAACAAAUGUGCAGCAAUGAUUAACAGACAUCGGAGAAGUCUUAGAGGAUGUUCACUGAAGAUGAUGUACAUCUAUUAUUCAUGUAGUGAUUUGUGGGCUGAAGAGGGACCAGCGAAGUUUGUACCUUGUCCAGUGACUCACAGGUUACAUCAUGCAACGUUUUCACCUACAUAAUGUGAGAAUUCCUGUUUCACCAGCCACGUAUCAUCCAGUUUUGCUGUCUUUGCCUAUCUGAUAACAUGCCCAGGACAUUUUGCACAUGAUUUCAGAGGACUUUCCUACGCAGUGCAAAGCAUCUGGCCUUCCUGGUUUGUGCCCACUGAAUGCCAGCAACACCUCUAGUCUUCGUGAUAACCACAUCUCCGAAGCCUAGCUGAGUGGCCUGCCUCACUGAAAACCACUGGCUUAGAUAUCUCAAUCU